rnacentral:lncRNA from 1 species
AUGAUGAACACAUGACUCAAGGACAAAGUGGCUUCAGAAAAGGGAUGGAAAUCUACAAGCAAUAAAAUAGGAGCUACCAACACAGUGCCUCCUGUUAACCACAGCAGACUGCUCUGCUUCCCAGUGAGAAGGCACCACAGAGAGGUGGGGGGAUCUGCUGAGGAGCCAUGGCCAUGCUCCAUAGCCAUGCACCUGCUGAGGAGCCACAGCCUGCACCAUAACAUCACACUGGAUGCAAAAGAGACCCGUCAGAGGAAAGAUCUGCUCCCCGUCACCCGCAGCAUGAUGGGCUGCCAG